AUUGAACGCUGGCGGCAUGCCUUACACAUGCAAGUCGAACGGCAGCGGGGGAGAAGCUUGCUUUUCCUGCCGGCGAGUGGCGAACGGGUGAGUAAUACAUCGGAACGUGCCCUGUAGUGGGGGAUAACUAGUCGGAAGAUUAGCUAAUACCGCAUACGACCUGAGGGUGAAAGUGGGGGACCGCAAGGCCUCAUGCUAUAGGAGCGGCCGAUGUCUGAUUAGCUAGUCGGUGGGGUAAAGGCCUACCAAGGCGACGAUCAGUAGCUGGUCUGGGAGGACGAUAAGCCACACUGGGACUGAGACACGGCCCAGACUCCUACGGGAGGCAGAAGUGGGGAAUUUUGGACGAUGGGCGAAAGCCUGAUCCAGCAAUGCCGCGUGUGUGAAGAAGGCCUUCGGGUUGUAAAGCACUUUUGUCCGGAAAGAAAUGGCUCUGGUUAAUACCUGGGGUCGAUGACGGUACCGGAAGAAUAAGGACCAGCUAACUACGUGCCAGCCGCCGCAGUAA
rnacentral:rRNA from 1 species